GGAGGGUUCGCCUAGUGGUAUGGCAGCAGGUUGCUAACCUGCGACGGCUUCAAAACCGUCCGUGGGUUCGAUUCCCACACCCUCCG
rnacentral:tRNA from 1 species